rnacentral:rRNA from 1 species
AUACUGAGUGGCAGACGGGUGAGUAACAUGCGGGAAUCUGCCUUGUGGUUCAGGACAACAUUGGGAAACCGAUGCUAAUACUGGAUAAGUCCUUACGGAGAAAGUUUUAAUGCCAAAAGAUGAGCCCGCAUUUGAUUAGCUAGUUGGUGAGGUAAAAGCUCACCAAGGCGAUAAUCAAUAGCUGAUUUGAGAGGAUGAUCAGCCACACUGGGACUGAGACACGGUCCAGACUCC